rnacentral:sRNA from 2 species
ACUCAAAAAUAAGCGAUUAAAAAGGUUUUAGCGUAGGCUCCUCGGAGCCAUUUCCCCUAGGCCCAAAAAAUGGAAGCGUUUGGGCCGCUUUUU